GAAUCGCUGCAGAUAGGAAACACAAGGACAGAGACAGGCAGACAGCUCACUGAGGAUGGUCAUCUUUUCGCAUGGCAGUCCACGUUUGGCUGGCAGAGGGUUUUGUUCAGUUGAUGUUGUCAUUACACAGGGAACUCUUCAUACAGAAACGGUCUUUGUGGCUGUUUUGUUAUUUCGUGUUGUAUAGCUAAGUUCACUUCAUGUCACCAUGCGUGACAAGAUAAUUGAAACUUUUUGAGCUCUCGCGGGUUGCCUGUGGGGAUCAAAGACUAGAAUCUUAUUGUGGAUCAUUUGACCGAAUAAAUAAUCAUUAUCUUAUCAUCACCUCAAACUCUUUGGCAAGGAAAGGAAAGACUGAAAUAAAUCUCCCUUAUCGCUAAGAGCUUAGCUCUUCUCUCGACUUUCCCCCGCGGUGUGAGCAACUGUCCUCUUGUAGUCCUUGCGUAGUGUGGUCGCUAAAUUGCUAAUAAUCAGUGUUUGUAAUGUAUUAUUAUUAUUUUUUAAGUUAAACGUUUUUUGUUAAAAGUUUUAACUUCAUUCAGACAGACAUAUCAAACACACCAUUUACUCCGACGUGGUGUACAGACAGGUUGUUAGGGUGUUAGUCUGCCACUAUGCAGCCUGAACGAGCACAUAAAGCUGUGUGUGGGCAGAGCCUGCUGUCCAUCGCCCUCAGGGUGUAUCUAAACAACAAGAACAGACUGCAGCCCAUCAUCGGUCAGGAACAGCCGUGUGUAUAUGUGUGUGUAUCUGUGUGUUUGUAUGUGUGUGAUACAUGUAUGGGGUAUUUGACCAAUGUGUCUACUUUGACCUGUGUGUGUGUGUGUGUGUGUGUGUUUCAGGUUUGAGCUACGUGACAGAGUGUGUGACGCUCGGCCGGGACUCUGAGGCGGUGUACCUGUGUGAGGUGUGUGUGUGUCGUCUCAGUAAGGCUGACGUCAGGAGCCACAUCAUGGGGAGUCUCCAUAGAUACAGAUACAUAAAAGUCGAUCACCCUCACUUUGUGUCAGAGUGGAAGCCGAGUCCUGACCUGUCAAUGCUGGCCCGGCCUCUUAUGGAGAUGGCUCAAAUACUAGAGAAGAGAGAAGGAACUGGGGACGUACAGCUCUCAUCCUCUUGCAUGCCAUCAGGACUGGGCGGGAGCAGAGAAAUCUCAAGAGCCAAUCAGAGAAGCCAUCAGUCCAGUCGGAGUAUCUCGCCAUCCGAUCACAGAGAACCAUUAUAUCACCUCAGAGGCUCUACGUCCAACCUGAGAAGCCUGUUGUCCAGAUUGAUAACCGAACUGUCCUAUGGAAGAGUCCGACUGCCCGGAGGAACUCAUCUGGCCAAUCAGAGAAGUCCCCUAUAUUGCGGCAGAGUGUUUCUGUCCAAUCACAACUCAGCUCGGGGAAGGAGGAGAGGUUUUUCCAUGAAACCAAGCCUCUGAUUGGUGCUUCACUAAAGUGUCCUGCGUCAGCGUUACCAUGGCAGCAUGACCCCUCUCUUUCACCGACCCCUGAUUAUGUCACAGAUGGAGGUCAGACAUCACUGGGUGGUUCUGAGGAGGCGGGACUACAGGGGGUUGCAUCGAAGGUGAUUCGCUGUGAGCCGGUGUUCAAGGUGAUUCUGUCUAUGACUGACGGUCCCCUGCUGCUGGAGAGGAACUCCUUCAGCCUGGAAACCUCCCUUUCACACUCCUUACCCCUUCACUCCCCACCAUAGAUGCCUCCACCCAGCCCCAUCCCACACCCAUCCCACAUUCUGUCAGAUCAACUGACAGAAUGUACCAAACAGGAGAAAGAUCAACUGACAGAAUGUACCAAACAGGAGAAAGAUCAACUGACAGAAUGUACCAAACAGGAGAAAGAUCAACUGACAGAAUGUACCAAACAGGAGAAAGAUCAACUGACAGAAUGUACCAAACAGGAGAAGGGACAACUGACAGAAUGUACCAAACAGGAGAAAGAUCAACUGACAGAAUGUACCAAACAGGAGAAGGGACAACUGACAGAAUGUACCAAACAGGAGAAGGGACAACUGACAGAAUGUACCAAACAGGAGAAGGGACAACUGACAGAAUGUACCAAACAGGAGAAAGAUCAACUGACAGAAUGUACCAAACAGGAGAAGGGACAACUGUAUGCUACAGGAGCGAGGCUAACUGACUGUUAGUUGAUGGAGAAAGAGGAACAAUGCAGAGCUGAAACUCAGGAAGGAGUUGGAG
rnacentral:lncRNA from 1 species